AAAAAAUCAGGAGCAAAGGUUGGGGGGUGGGGAGGAGGCAAAAUUGUCCUAGCAGCAGAUAAUGCCUAAGCCAGGAGGAACUUGUAAAUGAAAACUGCUUGCAUAAGCAAAUGAUUAUUUCCUCCAACACUGACCAUCUCUUAGACCCACAGAAACUUGAGGACCGGUAUGCACCCUGGCUGACUUGGCCCUACCAGAGCUGCCGGGCUGAGCCUGCUUCUCCGGAGGACUGCACUGGCCUGAACUGUGCUUCUAAAGAAUCUCUCCAAAUCAACAGGAACUUCUUAUCCAGAGCCGGGACAGGGAGGGCUGGAAUGGAAAUGAGGCCGUGGAAUGAAAGGUCACUCUCAACUUGGGGAAAAUGGCAUUUCACCUCGGAGACAGAACAUGCGAGGGGCAGGGAACGCCGAGAGGAGGCACUUACCUGCCAUUGAGAAAGUGUGGCUGCUCAGAGGGCCUAGCCUCUCUUGUUCAAAAGAGAACAGAGGCUCACCCACAGCAGACAUUCCUGCUUCCGGAUCCUCAGCGGCCUCUCCCAGGGGGAGGAGGAAGAAGCAAAGAGAACAGGCUAAGAGUCACCACUUACCAGGCCAGCCCCGGUCUUGUACACAUUAGGUCGCCCGGCGGGGCAAGGACACUGUCACCUCUUUGCAAUCAGGCAGUCUGAAGCCCAGCGACUUGCCUUCAUGUCCCCGGGCUUUCGCCUAUAAUUUAUCACCCUCGACAGCAGCUCGGCAGAGCUGAAAGUCUUCGGUGCAGGGCACCGAAGAGCCAUUUAUUUCCUGGGAUUGUGAAUAAAUACGAG